rnacentral:lncRNA from 1 species
CUCCUUUAUAGUCAACCCCCACCACACGUUAUCGUCGUCAUUUUGAAUACCCAAAGGCACUUUUAAGAGCCACGUCCAUCUGUCUGCCUUUCUGUCUGGCUGUCUGUCUAUCUAUCUGCCUGUUUGGCUGUCUAACUGUCUGUCUGCCUAUCUGUCUGUCUGUCUGUCUGUCUGUCUGUCUGUCUGUCUGUCUGCCUGCCUGCCUGCCUGCCUGCCUGCCUGCCUGCCUGCCUGCCUGCCUGUCUGUCUGUCUGUCUGUCUGUCUGUCUGGGUCAGUCUGUUUGUGUUGCAAUGGCCAUGAGACAUACCAUUGACCGCCAGCAUCCCAGCUACAAAGAGGGGAAACGUAAAUUGCUUGAAAGUAAACAAGACCACCUUAUAGCUGAAGCUGAGAGAGCCGUUGAGGAGAGGAAACGUGCGCGUUCUGGUGGAGGACCUCCAUGUGGCUCCACUAGUGACGGUGCAAGACGAGGCAAGCCGAGGGGGAGGCGUGGAGGGCGACGCGGAGGGCGACGCAAAGCCUCAGCCACAGGACGUUAUGACUUGCAUCAGCCACUGUAUGUAUGUCAGACGUGCCAGCAGCAGAGGACCCCUGACAUGAAGCACUUCCUUCAGAGUGGAUAUUGGCCAGCCUCUCUCAAUACUUCCACGUUGUACACGUUGGACCUCUUGAGCUCCUUUCAGGAACUGAAAGUAAUCUCUCCGGGAUUCUCCAGACAGGCCUUCGCAAAGCUCCUGGAGCAUCGCACCAAGUGUGGAGGACGAGUUAGUAUUAUUGUUCUUGGACAUAUUACAACAUUUCUGUGCAUAAGCAGACAACAUCCCAAAUAUUUUUUUAUUCUAUGUAUCUUCCAGUCUGGACAUAUCAAAGGUGACACCCUGCAGCGCAGCUUCUUGGAGUUUUCAUAUGCUUCGUUUGAGAAGGACCAACUCUGCUGUGGUGCUGUUUUCACCUGCACAGCCUGCACACCAGAAAUGUUGGCUGUUUCAGUUGAUGGAAACAGAAAGUUAUAUCGCUUUCGCCGAAAUGGAAGUUCUGGUGACCAUGCCUUUUUUGAAGGUUUAUUUGUGGCUGAAGACUUUGCAGUGUCUGGAUUUGUGGACAUGAUCCAGAAAGCUGUGAAAAAGGCAAGUUUGAAUCGUAAUUUGACAAAAUACUUCUGUUGCUAA